UACGUAGGGUGCGAGCGUUGUCCGGAAUUAUUGGGCGUAAAGGGCUCGUAGGCGGUCUGUCACGUCGAUCGUGAAAACUUGGGGCUUAACCCUGAGCUUGCGGUCGAUACGGGCAUGACUGGAGUUCGGCAGGGGAGACUGGAAUUCCUGGUGUAGCGGUGAAAUGCGCAGAUAUCAGGAGGAACACCGGUGGCGAAGGCGGGUCUCUGGGCCGAUACUGACGCUGAGGAGCGAAAGCGUGGGGAGCGAACAGG
rnacentral:rRNA from 1 species